rnacentral:rRNA from 1 species
AUUGAACGCUGGCGGCAUGCCUUACACAUGCAAGUCGAACGGCAGCACGGGAGCAAUCCUGGUGGCGAGUGGCGAACGGGUGAGUAAUAUAUCGGAACGUGCCCAGUCGUGGGGGAUAACGUAGCGAAAGCUACGCUAAUACCGCAUACGAUCUAUGGAUGAAAGCGGGGGAUCGCAAGACCUCGCGCGAUUGGAGCGGCCGAUAUCAGAUUAGGUAGUUGGUGGGGUAAAAGCUCACCAAGCCGACGAUCUGUAGCUGGUCUGAGAGGACGACCAGCCACACUGGGACUGAGACACGGCCCAGACUCCUACGGGAGGCAGCAGUGGGGAAUUUUGGACAAUGGGCGCAAGCCUGAUCCAGCAAUGCCGCGUGCAGGAUGAAGGCCUUCGGGUUGUAAACUGCUUUUGUACGGAGCGAGAAGGCUUCCACUAAUACUGGGGGCUCAUGACGGUACCGUAAGAAUAAGCACCGGCUAACUACGUGCCAGCAGCCGCCGCAGUAA